AUGCAGAGAGAGAAGAGGAAUCUGUUCUUUUGUAAGAUGUCGCCCCCCUCUAAGAAGUAUUGGAAAAUGUACAGCACUAGCUGUGUGCUGCAGAAGGGUGAAAACCCUGAAAUUUCUGAUAAGAACAUCCCAUUUGCUUCUGACUGCUGGACCCAUCUCCUGGUGUUCCCUCCCGUCCCUGCCCGUACCAUGCCCAGCUGGGGUGACAGCAGCAGUGGCAGCUGCUCCUGCUGGGUGCUGCUGGGCUGGAGCCCUGUGGUGCCAGCCCCGCUGUCUUUGGGGCAGGGGCUGCUUUUCCCAGCUUGAAUAAAGACGAGCACUUUGGCAUUGCA